AAAAAAAAAAAAAAGUGGAAACUCAUAAAAGAAUUGAAUCUAAGGCAAGAAUGUCAAGCGUUUCAAUAGUUUCAAUUUAAUGUACGUAUCAGGUUCCAUAGUGCUUGCAUUUUAUCUUUUUGUUAAUUGUGCAGAGUGCAGAAAGAACAGCUGAGCAACCCUGAAGUCCCGUCCAAUAACCAUCCAUGAAAUGUUAAAGGUUUGUAUUGUGUUGGAUCAAAGCCCAGCUUCUUGUCUUAACAAAGUGAGCUAGGACGAGAUGAUAAACAUGGGUGACGACGUCUCCAAACUAGCUACCAUGGGACUAUGGCCAUGUUUGAUGGGAAGAAUGACAAUGCUUAUCAAGACCUGGAGGGUUUAAUAACAAGAGGCUGACAAUGAGAUCGAAGGGGAAGUUAACUAACUUGGGCAAAUUGACAGAAUUUCUAUCAUUCAUUACAGGUUUGUUUUUGUUGUGUGUACCGUUGGAUCAAAGCUCAGCUUUUCUCUCAACAAAGGGAGCUGGGGGGAGGAGAUAAAAAUGGUUGACCAAGUCUUCAAACAAGCUACCAUGGGUAUUCUACUCUUUUCUUUAUUCCCUUUUCUUUUUCCCACAAUUGUCUUCUAUCUACUCAAUGUUUCAACUUGGUUAUACUUUCAUGUGAUUUUGGUGAAAUGGAUUUUGUUGAUUUGGACAUCCUUAGUCACUUGUGAUUAGUUCUGAUUUUUGUCAAAUGGAUCUUCCUAGAUUGUUUUUUAUGAAUAUAUAAACUUUGCAGGAAAAAAAAGAAAGAAAGAAAAAGGUGAGUUUUGUGAUCUAAUCAUCGUAAGUCUUGUGUUGACUUCCUUGUUCAGUGUUUAGAUGCUAAUUGCAAUUGUUCUAUUUGCAAAUUAAUUUCAUAUUUUGUUUUAGAAGAUACCAACAAUUGUCUUACUUUAUGAAAAUUAAAUAAUUUUAGUUUCCUAAAUGUAAUGAGUUCAACUUUGAGGGUAUAUACUGUUUGAGCCUUGAGGACAUAAUUUUUUACCUUAAAUCAUGUAUAAGGACGACCAAACAGAAAAUUGUUGUUGGUUAUGUUCUUGGAUUGUAAGUAACUAAGUAGUUGUUUGAAUGUACUA